rnacentral:lncRNA from 1 species
UUGGGAUCAUCAACUCCAUCUCUGGAGGACCUUGACAGGAAGCAGAUCUUCUACAGCCUUGGGAUUUGAAAAACUUGUAAAUGUAUUACGAACGAUCCCGCUUUAAAUCAAGAUUCCUUUCAGAUCUGCAUAUCUUUCCCUUUUUGGCAUGGACUUGUAAUGGCAGGGGAUAACCCCUUCAGACAAUGAAAACAACACCUAAUAUGGGUG